AUUUGGUUAGGGCACUCCUUAUUCCUGUACUUCUAUUAGUUGCUCAUUUUUCUUACGUCGUCAUUACCACUGGUGAGUCUUGUAUCACUGGAAAUUUCUGUUUCUCACCCAAAAUUUCCAAGUAUCGAGCCUCAGGUUUGCAUCCCAGAGCAUCGGCGAUAAUCGAUGGCGCAGCUCCCACGGCCGAAGAACUGUUGCGUCGUGAUCUUUAUACUAGUAAAGGUUGGAUCAAGG
rnacentral:misc_RNA from 1 species